rnacentral:rRNA from 1 species
AGUCAACCUGCCCUAGGGACGUGGACAACCACGGGAAACUGUGGCUAAACCGCGAUAAGUCAUCGCUGCUGGAAUGGGCAAUGGCUCAAACCUAUAUGGCCCUAGGAUGGGACUGCGGCCGAUCAGGUUGUUGGCGGGGUAAUGGCCCACCAAGCCUGUAACCGGUACGGGCUCUGAGAGGAGGAGCCCGGAGAUGGGCACUUAGACAAGGGCCCAGGUCCUAUGGGACGCAGCAGGCGCGAAACCUUCGCAAUAGGCGAAAGCCUGACGAGGUUAAUCCGAGUGUUUUCUGCUAAAGGAAUCUUUUGUCAGCUCUAAAUAGGCUGAUGAAUAAGGGGUGGGCAAGCCUGGUGUCAGCCGCCGCGGUAAUACCAGCACCCCGAGUGGUCGGGAUGAUUAUUGGGCCUAAAGCAUCCGUAGCCGGUUCUGCAAGUCUUCCGUUAAAUCCACCUGCUCAACAGUUGGGCUGCGGGAGAUACUGUAGGACUAGGAGGCGGGAGAGGCGAGGGGUAUUCCUUGGGUAGGGGUAAAAUCCUCUGAUCCAUGGAGGACCACCAGUGGCGAAGGCGUCUCGCCAGAACGCGCUCGACGGUGAGGGAUGAAAGCUGGGGGAGCAAACCGGAUUAGAUACCCGGGUAGUCCCAGCUGUAAACGAUGCAGGCUCGGUGAUGGACUGGCUUCGAGCCAGUCCAGUGCCGCAGGGAAGCCGUUAAGCCUGCCGCCUGGGGAGUACGGUUGCAAGACUGAAACUUAAAGGAAUUGGCGGGGGAGCACCACAAGGGGUGAAGCCUGCGGUUC